rnacentral:sRNA from 1 species
GCGCUUGUGAUUCUCCUUUCCCACGGCCUCCCUUUCCCCAGCUGUUUCUUGGGAGCUAAGUGGGCCUGAGGAGACUCAGAGCCCUCUUCCCCCACUUCCAUCUUCCACAGCUGGCUGGAGGAGACACUGCCGCUCUGGGGCUCCCACCUGCUCACCGUGGUGCGGCCCAGCUUGCAGCUGGCCUGGGCUCACACCAAUGCCACAGUCAGCUUCCUUUCUGCCCACUGUGCCUCUCACCUUGCGUGGUUUGGUGACAGUCUCACCAGUCUCUCUCAGAGGGUAAGUCAGAGACAGGGAGUCAAAUAAGGGGCUGGUUUUCCCAGGAGCAGAAUCCUGGGAAAGGAGCAGCACUGUGUGGCCUGAGUCUUUAGGGCCAGGAUGCAGUUCCCUGGAUACUCUGACCCCAUCCAUUCUCCAUGGUCCAGCUACAGAUCCAGCUCCCCGAUUCCGUGAAUCAGCUACUCUGCUAUCUGAGAGAGCUGCCCCUGCUUUUCCACCAGAAUGUGCUGCUGCCACUGUGGCACCUCUUGCUUGAGGCCCUGGCCCGGGCCCAGGAGCACUGCCAUGAGGCAUGCAGAGGUGAGGUGACCUGGGACUGCAUGAAGACACAGCUCAGUGAGGCUGUCCACUGGACCUGGCUUUGCCUACAGGACAUUACAGUGGCUUUCUUGGACUGGGCACUUGCCCUGAUAUCCCAGCAGUAGGCCCUGCCUUCCUGGCCACUGAUUUCUGCAUGGGUAGACCAUCCAAGACUGCAGCGGGUAGAAGGUGGCAGUUCUUCAUGGCAGUCUUUUUAACUUGGUGCCUGAGUUCUCUCCUAGGCAAGUGGCCAGUUGCCUCCACCUCAGUUCUUCCAUCUUUGGUGGGGACAGGGCCCAGCAGCAUCUCAGCCUCCUACCC